CACACUUCAGAUGUGUAGGACACCGUGUAUAGGCCUACAAGACAUUGCCCGGAAAAUGUGUCUUCUAGUUUAAACAAAACUCUCGAUUCUUUUAAGCAGCACUUUAAACAUUUUACAUCCUAAAGGGUUAGGUUUAGAAGGCAUGUAAUACGCGCGUUUCUUAUAAAACACCGUCUUUAAAACGUUUACCUCCUAAAGGGACCUAUUUAGAAGGAGCAGCAAUGAAGAAUCCCGUACUUCCAUCGCCAACGGAAGCAGAGGCAGAAUAACAUGUUAAGGAUCAUCUCUGCUUGGCCUCAGGGAGAAUGCCCUCUUAAACCACUUGUGUUCAUUUUCAUACCUUUUGUUUUUGUUUGUUUCAGGAUUUUAUAUAAUAGCAAAUAAAUUAAAAGUUCUUUUCAUUCUCUGACAAUAAUGCAAAUCAUUCUAUAACUUCUACAAUACGUCAAUACGUAAAGUGCUCAGAUUGCACUAUAAUGCUUAUAAAGUUACACCGGCACUAAAACAUUUACUUCCCAAAUUAUGGAGUAUACAGCUGUUACGCCACGGCCAGCAAAUGGCACUGCGGCGCGGCUUCUGACUGGACACGUGACUCUUAUUUUGGUUUGUUCGCUUCCUGUUUAGAUAUUGGCUUAUGUGCGAGGGUGUAGCUUAAUUUGAGCCAGGUGUCCAUGUUUAGUUUGAUUAUGUUGACUAUUUAAACCCCUUGGCGACUGCACACAGUAUUAUUAUUUGUAACAUAGAUGCCAGUGUGAUAGAUAUCGGUGUAACAUGUAGGUUUAGCAUGCUAGCGGUCUCAUUUCCAUGUCCUGUUUCCUGCCUCGACUUUAGUCUCAUGUUUACUCGUAUCUAAUUCCGUAAAGACCACGUUACCUGUGUUUGGUUUUGUUUGUUUAUGAAUAAAGACAGCGCUCCUGUGCCUACUCCCUGUGUAUCGUUACAACAGCACAUUACAGAUGGAAACAUGCCAGGUUCAAACAAAAGGGCCUUGCUCAAGUGCCCAGCAGUGGCAG
ensembl:lncRNA